rnacentral:misc_RNA from 1 species
GUGUCUUAGGGCGACGACAGUCAAUGAACUAUCACCCUCUAGGUUGAGCAACUAGCCGCGAUAAGUUUUCAGACACGCUCAAACAUAAUUCAGUCGUGUGAUAACUUUUUUUUAGUUCACUUCAGAAGGAUUUACGGAAAUAUAAACAUCAAGUAUAUUGUACAGAGGAGUCUAGUGUGAAGAUAAUGAAAGGAAACAUGUGGAUGGUUGUGGGCGUGAUGUGGUUGGUAGUCGGGUUGGCGGGUGGCCUGGACAUCGUGCCUACGGGCGUGAUCAGCCCCCAGGAGAGAACUAAUCCACCCACAGAGGUGUCCCGUCCACAAUACGUCCAGACACUCUACAAAGCGACAGAUUCUGUGAUUGUGAUGAACACCCUGGAACCACUGUGGCCAUCAUACAAAGUGGAGUAUCAGGAUAGGCACACCACUACUAUGAACAACCAGACGAUCGAUACAUCAACAGCAGAGUUUGCCACAGUGCUAAACACCACCGUGGAAUACUACUCUGACCUCACUGCUACCAAUACCCUGGAUGUAGCUGCCACGACCUUUCAGACCAUGGAGUUCCAACACCAGACAGUUCUCUACACUGACAGGGACAAUAAAACCUUCACUACAAUUGAGAAUAAUGACCUGCCUCUUAUCUAACUUUAAUGUUAUUUACUUAGUGCUUCAAGUUUUGCUCAGUCCUUCAUCAAACUUAGAGAUUCAAAGCUGCUGCCCCUCAUCUAACUAACAUCAACCCGCUCAGAAAUUUCUAUUAAAACAAUGUCGUAUUGACUUUGAAGUUAACCAAUCUCAAUAGGCUACAGUAAAAUUGAGGAUGCUGAUUCCUUUCCAAUAUAUUAUGACAUUGUGUACAGAUAAGAACAAGUGUUUUGUGUUCUAUUAUUAUAUGUUGUGUUUAGGUGUAUACAUAUUUACCUUUAUACAGUAUACUCACUUUUGGGAAGCUACAGAGAUUAAUUACAUACAAUGAUAACAUAUUAUUCUGCAAGACCAAUUUUUAUACAAACCCUUCUCAUUUCACAUCAGUAAUGUUUAAUCUACAGGAACACUGUAGCUUUUAUGAGUUACAGUGGAAUGUAUUGUGUACAUUCACUAUAUACUUAUAAGAUGUGGAUUUUAUGGAAUGUAUGGGUCUACUGUAUACAGUAAUGAAAAACAAAUUUGCUCUCAAACAGUUGGCAAAUGUGUAACAAUCUGUGUUGUGUAAUUGUUUUAAGCAAUUUUCAUAUGAGAUAUACCAAGAAUUUUAUAGCUUUUAGCUUAAUGCUUUCGUCAUAAGAGAAAGAUCUUUGAUUCACCUUCAUGGGAGUGAGUUUAUGGAAAAUGCUGGCGAGUGCUUCUGAAGGGCAGUGUAAAAAAAAAAACCUCAUUUACAACGAAACACUGGUCUGCUUUUGUUGCUUUCUAGCUUUGGUUCAUAUUGUAACUCGGUAUUGAUUGUAGGCUAGACUAUACCUUAUGGCAUCCUCCAUCUUUAUCAUUAACAGAGAUGUAUAUAAGCUGUGGUCUUUAGCUGUGCAGGGUGUUAUAUUAAGAAUUAUUAAUAAUCAUUGAAAAGUUCAUUUGGGAAGUUAAUCUUUCAUUAUAGAAAUUUAUAUGAAAAGAUUCACCAUAUACAACUUCUCUCCUGAAGUGAAGGAUUUCAGAGUCCUAGGAUUGCUCUUUGAACCCCAUGGUGUAAAGAUUUUUAAUAUGAUUCUGAUUAGAGUUCAGAAAAUUAUGAAUUGUAAUUUUUUUCUACAAAGUAAACUAGAUUUUCAGUUUGGGAUGUAUUUUGUAUAUAUGUAUUGUAAGCCAUGUGUGUAAUUUAUUUACCUACAUAUAUACACUGUACUUGUGUUAGUGUUUUUUAGUACGAGGAAAAGCCUUUGGUAGACUUUAGUGAAUCCUCCGCCUUAGAUACAAGAUGUCUUUUUUAUAAUGCAGUGUAAAAUUCAGAACAAUACUGUACAACAUUUCUUUUUGCAAUGGUGAUUAUAUUAUGUCAAAGUUAUUUCUCCCUGUUAAAAUUCUUCAUAUGUACAGGUAAUUUUAUAUCAAUGCCAUACAUGAAAUUUUUCACCAAUGUUUUUCAUGAUCGCUCUUAUUACAGUAUACUAUGAAGUCCCUUUAUAGGUCUGUUUUAAGUAUUUUUAUGUAUCUUCAAGAAUUCCUUUUUGUAUUAUUUUGUAUUAUAUCCAAAGAUCAAAUUAGAAUUUCGAUAACAUUUCAUAAGUGUUAACUCUCAUUAAGUUUCCAUUUCCUACGUGUUUUUUGUGCUAAGUUUCUCCACAAAAAUACCACCAUACAUGAUUUUAUAUGAAAAAAAGUCAAUAUAGAAUUUUUUCACUGUAAUAAUGUACUGAAUACGCAAUAUUAUUUGCUUGUAUUAAUGACCUAAGUCAGGGGUGUGUGUGUAUUGUACAGUGUGGUGACCCUGCUUGGCUCCUUAAGGGUUGAAGAGAAACAGUGGUGGUAGAGGAACAUGAUAACUGUGAUUCAUUAAUAAAAUGUUUUGUACCUAUA